GGGAACGUACCUUUUGGUUCGGAACAACUGAGGGAAACUUCAGCUAAUACCGGAUAAGCCCUUACGGGGAAAGAUUUAUCGCCGAAAGAUCGGCCCGCGUCUGAUUAGCUAGUUGGUGAGGUAAUGGCUCACCAAGGCGACGAUCAGUAGCUGGUCUGAGAGGAUGAUCAGCCACAUUGGGACUGAGACACGGCCCAAACUCCUACGGGAGGCAGCAGUGGGGAAUAUUGGACAAUGGGCGCAAGCCUGAUCCAGCCAUGCCGCGUGAGUGAUGAAGGCCCUAGGGUUGUAAAGCUCUUUUGUGCGGGAAGAUAAUGACGGUACCGCAAGAAUAAGCCCCGGCUAACUUCGUGCCAGCAGCCGCGGUAAUACGAAGGGGGCUAGCGUUGCUCGGAAUCACUGGGCGUAAAGGGUGCGUAGGCGGGUCUUUAAGUCAGGGGUGAAAUCCUGGAGCUCAACUCCAGAACUGCCUUUGAUACUGAAGAUCUUGAGUUCGGGAGAGGUGAGUGGAACUGCGAGU
rnacentral:rRNA from 1 species